GCGUCCGUUGCCAUGGUUACGAUAAGGGGAGGAAGACACCGAACAAGCGUUUGUACUUGUAAGCAGUUUAGCGCAGCGAUAGCUUUGUUGGCAUCGUUUAUUUUCUGCGUUUGUUACCAGAGAGAGUUUAUUUUUCGGUAGAUGGAACAAAUGAGCGGUGAAUCACCCAACAACAAGCUUAGACCUCUUAUUCAUCCAGAGAACAAGAAGCCCAAAGCUGCAGAGGAGCUGAACAUCCUGGGUGAUGAUCGGUCCAGCAACUCUGACCUCCAGACUCUGGCCACUCACCCACAAGAUGCUAAUAAACUUCACAUCCCAAAGCCACCCAAG